GGGGAAUAUUGCACAAUGGGCGAAAGCCUGAUGCAGCAACGCCGCGUGAGCGAUGAAGGCCUUCGGGUCGUAAAGCUCUGUCCUCAAGGAAGAUAAUGACGGUACUUGAGGAGGAAGCCCCGGCUAACUACGUGCCAGCAGCCGCGGUAAUACGUAGGGGGCUAGCGUUAUCCGGAUUUACUGGGCGUAAAGGGUGCGUAGGUGGUUUCUUAAGUCAGGAGUGAAAGGCUACGGCUCAACCGUAGUAAGCUCUUGAAACUGGGAAACUUGAGUGCAGGAGAGGAAAGUGGAAUUCCUAGUGUAGCGGUGAAAUGCGUAGAUAUUAGGAGGAACACCAGUAGCGAAGGCGGCUUUCUGGACUGUAACUGACACUGAGGCACGAAAGCGUGGGGAGCAAAC
rnacentral:rRNA from 1 species